GGGUUGUGAGGUUAAGCGACUAAGCGUACACGGUGGAUGCCCUGGCAGUCAGAGGCGAUGAAGGACGUGCUAAUCUGCGAUAAGCGUCGGUAAGGUGAUAUGAACCGUUAUAACCGGCGAUUUCCGAAUGGGGAAACCCAGUGCAAUUCGUUGCACUAUCAUUACGUGAAUACAUAGCGUAAUGAAGCGAACCGGGGGAACUGAAACAUCUAAGUACCCCGAG
rnacentral:rRNA from 1 species